rnacentral:rRNA from 1 species
CCUACGUGCGGCAGCAGUAGGGAAUCUUCCACAAUGGGCGAAAGCCUGAUGGAGCAACGCCGCGUGGGUGAAGAAGGUCUUCGGAUCGUAAAACCCUGUUGUUAGAGAAGUAAGUGCGUGAGAGUAACUGUUCACGUUUCUACGGUAUCUACCCAGAAAGCCACGGCUAACUACGUGCCAGCAGCCGCGGGAAUACGUAGGUGGCAAACGUUAUCCGGAUUUAGUGGGCGGAAAGGGAACGCAUGCGGUCGUUUAAGUCUGAUGUGAAAGCCUUCGGCUUAACCGGAGUAGUGCAUUGGAAACUGUGAGACUUGAGUGCAGAAGAGGAGAGUGGAACUCCAUGGGUAGCGGUGAAAUGCGUAGAUAUAUGGAAGAACACCAGUGGCGAAAGCGGCUCUCUGGUCUGUAACUGACGCUGAGGUUCGAAAGCGUGGGUAGCAAACAGGAUUAGAUACCCCAGUAGUC